AUUUUCUUAUAUAGCCACAAUGCUACCCCACCUAACAGUAACCUGUCUUUGAUAUAUCCCAUCCAUAUUCAAACUUCCCUAUUUGCCGUCAAAUGGCUUUUUCAGUUAGUUUGCUUGAAUCAGGAUAAAAACAAGACCUACACAGUGCAUUUAGUUAUCAAGACUUCUUUUAAUCUAGGGUGGUCUGUGUCCCUAUGAGAGUUUGAGAGGGUUUUAUAGUGUGAUGGGCUCAAGGUCUGAGACCUAGGGAAGCCCUGUACAGGCCAGGUGUUGGGCUGUUACCUAAUUUGCCUCAGGUAGAAAAACUUUUGCCAACAAAGUUAAAUCAUAAUUAUCAUUCAACAAGUUUUCAUGUCCAUUAUAUGUAUUCUUGGCACUGGGCGAGGCACUGAAGGUCCAGAAAGACAUGAGACACGAUCCCUGGGCUCAGAAAUCAGGCAGAGAGUGUCUGCUUUUUGACCACGAAAGUUUCUGCUGCAUGACCCACCAGAGGAUGUGAUGUUGCAGUAGAGGGAGGAGUGUGGCUGUCUCCAGGGAACCAGUCAAAGUGCAAUGCUGCAGAGUCCUGCUUAUGGCUUUUCUUUACAGUGUUGGAAUACACCAGACAACUGAGACUGCUGGCAAUUUUAAAGCCCAGUCAGAAAGGUGCCUAGUGAUUAGAGACAGGAGAUUCUGCCCUCCAUGCUAACACCCUCUCCCUUAGGGACGUACUGUCUGAUGUCAUAUUCCUUGGUCAGUAUAAAUUGUGUCAAGCCUCCAUAAAUAUGCCAAGUACUAGAUAUCAUUUGAAAAAUGGUUAAUGUCUCCCAGGAAGUAGCAUUCUAAAGGAAAAUAUAUACAAAAAAAUUUUUCCCCUUAUAUUUUCUUUAAUUAUGUCUUCUUCCUAAUUUGGAAGGAAUUCUUGAAAGUGAUGAGUUUACAGGGAAGAAAGGAGAAAGUCUUUUUUCUCAGGAAUAUGUGUAUUAGGGAGACAAAUGCCAAAGCUGGACCAAAACAGCACGGAGAGAAGCCUGGGGGGCAGGAAGGGCUCUGGACUGAGAAAUGGAAAGCCCUGGAGCUGAAGUCCUCGCUCUUCACUUACAGUUAUUUUAAAUUGAGCAAGUCACCAAACUUGCUUAAAAUCAGUUUUCCUUUCUAUAAAAUAACAAUGCCUUUUUCAUACGGCCUGUAAUGAAGAUGAAAUAAAAGAUGAUAAUUUCAAAACUUUCUAGACUUUGCAGCCCCCUUACAAAUAGGAAAGGAGUAUUAUUAUUACGGCCAUUAGGAGGAGGAAACCUGUCUGAAUUCUUUGGAAGAACAAAUAUUUACGAGAGUACUGUGUGGAUCAGAAGAUGGUGAGCCAAGGUCCUUGGAACUCAGAAUGAAGAAUGGUUCAAGACUAUUUAUUUAUUUAUUUCCAGAAUAAAGAAUGAAGUAUUUUUAAAAAUGAUGUAACUUUGUCUCAAUCUCUAUCAGUGUAGUAGCAAGAAUAAAAUUAACCUGACGUGUUGAGUAGGCUAAAUUCAUUCCGUGGCAGUGUUAAUGAGGAAUGCCUCUGCUUCAGUAUAAAAUAGAGUUAUAAUAAUGAAAAAUUGGCUUAUUGAGUACAGGUAUACACUACUGGGUCUUCUAUAAAGUUGAGAAGUCAGUGAACUUGUAGCUAUAUAGUGUAUUGAUUAUUUGCACAGAAAUUAUGACUUAAAUGCUAGUGGGAGAAAGAAAGGGGAGAUUUGACUAUUUGACCUUCAUACAACUGGGAGUCAGAAAACUUCAAGAGGGCGUGACAGGGAGACGGAUUUCAGAACCAGAGGAAGGUGUGAAAAGUGUAAAUACAACAGUCAAAUAUCCUCUGGGUGCCUUAAAACUAAGCUGGGGGACAAUUUUGUUUUUGUUAGUAUUCUGGGUGCUCAAUCUGUGGUAAUUACAAUAUAUGGCAAUGUAAAACUUGCAUUGAUGCCAGCCCCCUUCGAUGUUCUAGGUAUUCUUGGAUGGUCAUUAAGUAAACCAAGCAUAUGCUGGUAUGUUCAGCUGAGCCCUUCUAGAAUUUCCAACAGAAAGCCAUUGAAUUAGGUGAUGAAGGUGGAAGGUAAAGAAGUAUCAAAUAAGAGGAGUGGUGAAAUUCAGAGUAACAAGGAUUGCUUGUAUAACAGCACAUAAGAUGCCUUUAUUUUAAUGGUGUAUCUAAACUAUAGGAUGAUUUAAACACUUGGCAUGUUAUGACUACAUCACUCUCCACCACGAAAUUACCAUUUCUAUUUCUUUAGUAUCAUCUAUUUUUGUAUCAUACAUUUUAUUUAUUGAGCACCUACUAUUCGGGAGCACAGUGUCAGGUGUAUGUGAGGGAACAGUCUUCAUUCGUCAAUGGCAGAGUGAGAUCAAGCAUGAUUAAAAACUCAACAGUAACCAGGGGUGGAUAAUUACUAAUGCAUUAGUGGCAAGUGCCAUUUCAGACGAAUGGGAAGAGGAAUGACGCAGAUAGUUUUUGCUCUGUCUCUUUUCUGGCAAUAUGAUUGUCACAUACUCAGGCCUUGCAAGGAUUCCAAGUUGUAAGUAUUGAGGGUAUCUAGUGAAUUAGAGACGUUAAUCAGUUAGCUGUUCCAUCCUGUGUCUCUAGGACUUGGACACUCUCUUUAGAUCUCAUUGCCAGACAUGUAAAAAACUGCCCUAAGACAUGAUCCUAAGACUUCCUCAAUAGAAUAUGAUCCCUAUGAGGGCAGUACUGGGGUCUAUCUUAGUCGCAACUGCAUCUCCAGUCCCUCACAUUGUGUCUGAAACAGAGUGGGAAUUCGGUAAAUAAAAAACUUUAUAUUUGUUGGAGAAAGAUCUUCCCUGAAACAGAAAAUUCCUUUGAAGCUUAAAUGUAUAUCACAAAGCUCUGAGGCCAUUAGAUGAAGUCUGAAAAAGAAAUGAGCACUUUUAGAAUCACUACAUUUCUUCCGAUGGACAGUAUAUCCCUCCAUCACAAGGAGCACCCAUACACAUAUGCCUACGCCCGUGCAUACCUACGUAGACUCACGUCUGCCCACUUUUUGGUCCUCUGAGCUUUUUAAUCUAGUUUAGAAAAAGAAAGGAAAAUGACAUGAAUUGAAAGUUGUACACUGUAGGCUUUAGACCUUAAAAGACAGUAUAUCAUCAGAGAAAUAAAUCCUUUCUUCUGAGACUGCCUGUAAUUUUUUUUGGCGAGUUCUCACUCUCCUUUUGCAACUUUCCCUCUUCCUUAGAGGAUUCUUUAAGUUCUAUCCAUCAUCUCAUUUACUGAAAUGUACCUCAUUUGGGAAUGAGAACAUUUUGGCAUAGCUGAGAGCUUUUAAUGGAAAUAUGAGAGAAGACAUUUCUGACAUAUAUAAUACCUUCAAUAUGUUGCCAUAUAUUGCACCAUCUCUGAUGCGUUACCCGAGAUGCAUAACGACAGAUGGGCCGAGGAACGAGAAGGAACACUCCCCAAGUGGGGAUUUCUUUAGAAACCAAAACUCCUUCCAAGGUGCUUUGAGCUAUUCUUAGCAAUUGGGGUUCAACACAUUCACCCCCAACAGAAGCAAAUGUCUGCCAAGAGGCUGCCUGUGGGAGCUUUGUUGCCUAGCAUUUUUCUCCAAACAAGAGUCAAGCCAGGCAGCGUAGUCUUAGACUCAGGGAAACCUAGAGCCAGAGCAUUGAGUCCCUGUUUUCAGGUGUGUGACUGUGGUCAAGUUACCUGACUUCUUCGAACCUAUGAUUCUUCAAUCAUGUAAUGGGGCUGAGAAGCAGUUUCUGUUCCAAACUCUGUAAUAAGCUAUGAGAAUUUUUUACAUAGCGGUGGAGAUUAUGAAAUUUUCAGUGUUCCUUACAGUUCUUUUAUGUAUCUGGAGUGGAAAUAUUUAGGAGGGAUGUUUCUUUUCCUUUUUUGUUUCACCCAAACCUAAUCUAAUCACUCGAUGACUCAAAUUUUUCCUCGAAUGCAAACCACACAUUCCAGGAUAAUGCAAAAUUUCAUUUUGGGGUGAGAGGAGUGAGCAAUAAUGUGAUUUGACCAUGUAUUAUGGGGUUAAGAAAAUUUAAAAACCAUCUCAAUGAAGAUACAGUUUUGGUAUCAAUAGCUGUACAGUCAUUAGCAAUGUUUUACUGUAUAGCCACUCUAAGAGCAUCUUUCUCCUUCUCUUAUUUUCUUUUUCUUUUUCGUACCUUGUCUGUCCCAUGCUAUAACACGGUCUGAGCGAGUGCAUAGAUCUGAAUCUAUAAAAUAUUUUAUAUGCUCUCUUUCUUAACCAUGUUCCUUGAGCUUGAGUUGUUUAUCAGAAUCUGCUUUUUUUUCUAACCAUCUUUUUGACUUGCACACAGUUUAGUUGCCUGUUUUCACCACACCCAUACGUUGUGCUGACAGGGCCUUGUGUUUUUUUCAGCAUAGUUUUCCCAUCUGGGGCGUGUGCUUGUUAUUGUAGUAGGAUAGAUAAAAUACCUACGUAAAGACGUAUUCGGGCCAAACUGAGCGUAUUCCCAGAUUUAUGGCUUGUUAGAGUAGGAGGGAACUGAGAGGUCUUUGGAGCCAAAACCUCAGCUUUGCAGAUGAGACAAGAGGGACUUAGAGAAGGGACUUUGGGGCAAGAGGGACUUACACAAGAGGGGCUUCCUGGGCAUUAUGGAGCUCAUGAUUCAUCAGGGGAACAAAUGCCUUUAGAAGGGAACAGCUACCAACAAAAGAAACCCUAGACUGUCUUCCUGGGUUAAUUUAGAAUUCUUUACUGGCAAUAACUAGGGCCAUUGGAAGUACAGAAAAUUAAACACAUUAUCUUGUUUCUCUGAACUAAUAAGAAUAUUCUUCAAAUUGGAAAAACAGUAUCCUUUUGCAGAUUGCAAAUCAGAAGACAUCUAUCCAUAACAGGCAGCUUUACUGGAUGUUCAAAUUUCUUUUGAAGGUGUACAGUAGGUAUGACUACAAAUAAAAUUUUUCCUGUUUUGCAUCCUUAAUGUGCCUACCAUGCUGACCACCCCCUAUCACUCACUGCCUACCUUCCCUGCCUCCGCCCCUGACUCCAGCCUAAACACCCAUUGCAAAGGCAUCCUCAUUGCUUGUUUUCAGCUGGCUUUUGUUCUGGUCUCAUGUCAGCCCAUCUCCGAAUGCUUGGCUUGGCAACCUUAAACUCCAUUUCUGCCUGUGGUUCUUAGACUUGGUGUUUGGCCUUGGUCUCCAUGGAGUUUGAAUUUUGUUCUGUUCAGUAGAUGAGGAAACAAAGGCUGAAUGAGAACAGCAGCAAGUCUGAGCUUGCAAGGGGAGGCAGAAGCUCUUCUAGUUGGGAUUUCUUGAUACAGGGACCAUUCCAUUCAUCACAGAAUCACACUGACAAGAUGUGAACACAAAGGGAGGCUCUGCUAUGUCAAGGACCAGUGAGUAUAUUCUGAGCAGAUUGCCUGCCUUAAGGAAUAGUGUCCUUUACCAAUACCGGUGAGAGGCAUGGGACUUCCCUCAAAGGAACACCCUACCACAUGUUCAGAACUUGCCAUUUUCGGAUUCUCGGCCACUCAGCAUUCUCCAGCCACUCUCUACUCUUCUUCUUCACUGAUCUUAUUGCCCAUACCCGUGGUGCACACACCUUGCUCCUCUGAGCAAGCACACUAUUCACCUUCUAUGACCUGGGUUUCCCUUCUGACUUUACUUUUGUUUCUCCUGAGCAGUUUGAUCACCAAGCUUUCAGUUAAUAAUCCCUUUUUCACUUCUAGAAACUUCUUCCCGGACACCUCCCAUUCAGGCAACAUUUCACUCCACUCCUUUUGGAUGGAUUCAGGAAAGUGUAUAAAUUGUUCCUGAAUCAAGCAAAUUGCAGAUACUCUUUAGAGUGAAGAUGCUGGUGUUCCACAUCCAAUUGCUCUCGUCUUUCCAAGACUGUGGCACUCCAGGAAAUCUUCCCUACUGAAGGGGGACCACGAGCUACAGUAUCUCUUAGAUGAAAUCAACCGAAUUGUCUUUGGAAAAGAUUGAGAAGAGCCAGUAAACUUGGCUUCCUAACUUCUGCUUCUCAUACACGGGCGAAUGGUUUGAAGAUAUUGGCCUAGCAAGAUGGCAACGGGUUUAAAAAAUUCAUAAGAUUCAUAGGAUUCAUAAGAAGUUACUUUUUUCAGGUAAUGGUAUUUUCCUAUAAUUUCCCAAACCUUCCAUUUCCUCAAGUUUUGCAAAUUUUUAGGGCCUGCUUGAAUGAUUUAAUUAUGAAGAAUAACUGCACUUUAAACUUGAUUUGUAAAAAUAGCAACCAGUUUUAUAAUAUUCGUAGCCAAUGAGUAGAGCAGCCAUGGCAUUCAAUUCUGUGGAGUUCAGAAAAUGUUUUGAAAGUUAUUACUUAACAGUGCUUAUUUCUUUUGACAAUGAUUUAGGCAGAACUCAUGUGAAACUAUCGGGCACUGUCCAUAAACUCUGUGACUAUCUUGGGUAAUUGAAUUUAAAAAUAUGAGUAUUAGAGGAUUGUCUCUAAAAAGCCUACCAUGUGCCCUGAAUUCCUGGAAGAUAGGUCUCAUAUAAAUUGCAUAAUAACAAUAAUGGUGUUUUAACUUUCAGCCUAGAUUGGUAAUACUAUAAGGCAUUUUAUGGAACUAUACUUAUACAUGUGCAGUAACUACGAUUUGAGCUCAGCUAUCAUGAUAUAGGUAGUUUUCUUUUAGUAUUCCUAAAGGACUUUGUGCCGCUUAAAAAUGUUUGAUAACAUAAAUGAUAUAUUUUCUUGAUAAAUUACUUUACACUGCUUUUGCUAUUGUUUAUAGGCAUUAGCCUACAUUUUCCAACUUAAUUAUUAGUGUUACCAUGUAAGAGAGCCCAACAGAAUCUUGGUUAAUAAGGCAAGCCAAAAUUUCCUCUGAAAAGAACCCUUAUUUUUUUCCCCAACACAAAGAAGGUUCUUGAAGGAGGCAUCCAAUUAAUAUUUUUGGGAAAAUACCUACUCCCAAACAAACCAUUUUUCUGCUAGGUCAGUAUUUGAUUUUCUUUUUUUUCUGCAGCCUAGGCAUCUUCUAAUUUCUCUUUUAUUUUCUGAAAUUAAAACUGGAUUGUUUAGAAGCUAACACUACAAACCAUUUGGAAUGAAUAACUUCUCUGUCCUAAAUUUGCCCAAAAAAAGAUACAGAGAUGGCCCCAAUUGAAACACAGCAUUGACCUCCUUUCUAUGGACUUCAAGGGUGCAAAUACAUGAAGGAGGUGCUACUUGAAUGUAAAUGUGACACUUUGACAGAUCUUUGUCCAUUGCUAACAAAUAUUGUGUUCUAUCUUUUUAAUAAAUAUGAUAAUGACAAUUAGUUCUCAUGACUUUGGAAGCCUGGGCCUAUUCCUUCCCAUUUUAAUAAGAGCGCCUACAUCUCACGUGUUCCAGAAAUCUUUAACAGUGUUCAAAGUGCCCAUCCUCAAAUACUUCUGGCUCCAGGCCUUUGUCAGAGGGAUCAAAGGAAAAGAGACUUGAAGUUCAUUUUAAAAUUUUUUAUUUUAGAAAGGAAAUGAACAUUUAUAAAUAAAAUAAAAUAAAGACCAUUUUGAGGUGACUGGUUUGGAUCCAUUUACUUCCACUUGCUAUUGUUGUUUCUUUGGAUCUAAAAGUCAAGCCACGGAGCUGCAACUAAGUUCUUGGUUUUGGCACCCUUCACAGCGCCAGGCGGCUCCAAGCAAUUGCAGCCACAGCUCAGUCCUGAUGAAACAGGCGGCAGUGAAGUGUUGAUGAGCAGUUGCGUCUCAGCCCCUAUUCAUUCUUUUGUUGGUUUCCCGUUCUCCUGCUUUCACCUUUCACCUUUGUGUAUAUAACAGCCUCCUCUUUUCUCUGAAUAAUUCCCAAAUUUGGCUCUUUUUUGUUGUUAGUAGAGUCUCCCAGAUUCUUGAGAACGGAAUGAAUGUUCAUAUGUCGAGGCAAAGGAGAUAAAGUUUUUGUGAGCUAGGAUCUAUAGACAUUGCUAACAAAAAUUGAAAAGGUCUCUUUUUAGGUCCUGCAAAGAGCUGGAGGCAUAUGUUUUUCCCAGUGUCUAGAAAGGGGGAAUAUUUUGCUUUUCAUCAUGCAUCCUUGAAGUACUUAUGAUUAAGACUGUCUUCAAUACAAUUCACAAAAGGAACCAUUAAUGAAAGUUCAUUGUCUUGGAUGUUCCAUUCUUACAAGUGAACAUUGGUUUUGAAGAAAGGAUUUUAUGUUGACAAAUUAAAUCCUUUUAUAAGAAGACCUCAGAAACAGAUUCAUUCCUACAUCCUGGAGCAAUUUCGGGGGAAGAAAUUAUACAAUUUCUUUUCUGGUUGAAGUUUUAUAAAAUAUGCCCUAACUUGCUCAUUGUUGGUGUUUGGACCAAUAAUGAGGGUGGGUAUGAGGGUGGAGUGCAAACAUAAAUACAAACUUUUCCUGAAGAUGAAUCUUUCAAUGUAAUAUAGCUGGAAAUGUCCUCUAGAAUAGUUUUCAGAAAAUGCUAGCCUAUUGGAGGUGUUUUAUUCCAGCUGUUUUCCAGAAUGCAAAUAGAAAGGAAAAGUUCACCAUCCCUUUUCAUGUAAUUACAGGUAUUUAACAAAAUGAGGGGCCCGCCGGCUGGUGUAGUGGUUAAGUUUGUGCCCUCCACUUCGGCAGCCUGGGGUUCUCUGGUUCAGAUCCUGGGCAUGAAUCUACACACUGCUCAUCGAAGUCACUGUGUGGUGACCUCCCACAUACCAAAUAGAGGAAGAUUGGCCCAGAUGUUAGCUCUGGGCCAAUCUUCCUCAAUCAAACCAAACCAAACCAAACCAAACCAGAACAUGAAUUUUGGCUGUCAUGUUUCCCUCUCUCUCUGCCAACAAUUUAAAAAAUUUUCUUUAUCCUGCUGAUUUGCAUACGAUAUCACUUUGCCCUGAUGUGUGUUAAGAACUGAAUAAAUGAGUCUUCUGUAGUAUUAAAUAGUAAAUGACAAGGUUUACCUAAAGCUCACUGUACCUGUGGAGUAAGUGAAAACAAAGGGAGAUGUGUGGGGGAGAACAGAGAAGAUGCAGGAUGAAGUCUUUCCAUUUCUGGCAUAAAACAAUAGAAUGGCAGAACCUUUGAUUGGACUAAUGAUUUUAACGUUUUAUUUUCAGACAUGUCAAACCCCCAAACGAGAGAAGAUACUGAGGCCUGUUGCCACAAACCCGUAGAUCCGAACUUGUGGUGAUAGUCCACACAAGCUUGUGUCUAUAGGUAUGUGUCUGUUAGGCAAUCUCACAGACCGCGGGCUUUGGCUGUAUGCCACUCAAUAUCCCUUCAAAUACCUUUAUUCUCCCUUUCUUCCCCUUAGUUUGCUUUAAGAGUGGUAGAAAUGGAAAGAGGGGCUGACAUGGAGGAAGGAGAACUUUUGAUCUGAAAUGGAUGAGGUUCUUCGAUGAUUAAUUUAUAGGCUUGCCUUCAACUUCCUUAUCUCUUAUAACUACUCUGAGCCGUCAAAUUAAGAGACUGGGCUUGCAGGUGAGGCGGCAAGAAUUUCUGUGACUCAGACAGCUUACUGUUGAGUGAUGAGUAAAUUGAUACAUAAACAAGGGUUUGUUUUGUUUUCUGUAAGCCUGACUAAUGGUUUUCAGAGUUAUUAUGAUCUUUUUUGGAAACUGACAGAGACGUGUUUUCAAGACCUGUUUCACCCUAGUUUGAGUUAUACCUUACAGCAAUUCUUCCUCACUCAUUGCUCUCCAAGCGCAGUCAAAUCAGUCCUUAUCUUUAAAAAUAAAACUAAUGAGAGGAAUGAAUGUGCUUAACUAUUUAUCCUUCUAUAAAUACCCAGCACUGUAAGAAAAAGAACUUUUUAUAAAAAAGAAUUAGCCUGUUUAAGUCCAACUUCAUACUUGGCCAGGGCUGUUUUAUAAGUCUUCACCAUGUUUAAAAGGCUGGAAUGAAAAUAAUUUUAUCCCCUUGCCUCUUAAAUGUCACCAUUGUGCCAGGAUUGGAAAGCCAAACUGACUAGAGAUCAAAGCAAAACUGGCUGUAUUUGUCUCAUUCCAACAAUGUGAGCUGAAGAGUCUGUAAACAGAACCCAGGGUGAAAAGUUGAUCAGAUUUGGAUAACUCUUAAACUUUUGCAUUCCCUUUUGGUCAAACAUAGUGCCAGGAAUUCUCGUAAGAUUUUUUUUUUCUAUGCAGCCUCAUCUAGCAAAAAGAGUUCAAUAUGAAGUAGUUAUUGAGUUAACAUCAGCAAGAAGUUUGAAACUCAAGUAGAUACAUUUUAUUUCAUUAAAUUCUGUUUCCUCUUAAGAGCCAUGCUGUUCAGGGAUAGCUAGAACUCUUUCGUUCAUUGAGUAUAUAAAAUGCAAUUUUGUUUGUUGGAAUUAGCAAGGCCCAGAUAGAGAUCACCUACGUUUAAAGGGUAGAAUCAAGCUCUGUAGAUGCUGCACCCAGGGGAUAUUGUGUAUAUGCAUUUCCUUUGCGUUUCCCCUGCAUAGCGUUGAGGAGGGUUGUCUAUACAUCUCAACUUUCAGCUUGCCAAGAAAUCAUUGCUUUACUA
rnacentral:lncRNA from 1 species